UCUUCAUUUCACACACUCUCUCACCGGUCAGAGAGACGAGAGAGAGAGUGUGUGUGAAAUGAAGAAA
rnacentral:pre_miRNA from 1 species